UACGUAGGGUGCAAGCGUUAUCCGGAUUCACUGGGUUUAAAGGGUGCGUAGGUGGGCAGGUAAGUCAGUGGUGAAAUCUCUGGGCUUAACCCGGAAACUGCCGUUGAUACUAUCUGUCUUGAAUAUAGUGGAGGUGAGCGGAAUAUGUCAUGUAGCGGUGAAAUGCUUAGAUAUGACAUAGAACAUCGAUUGCGAAGGCAGCUCGCUACACUAUGAUUGACACUGAGGCACGAAAGCGUGGGGAUCAAACAGG
rnacentral:rRNA from 1 species